AUGACGGGGCUCCGGGCGGCCGUGACCCUGCUGGAGUGCGGGGGGAACCUCCAGCCCCCCAGGGGGUCCCCGCGCCUCCUCUGCCGAGGGGCCGGGUUCACUUUCGGGAAUGUGAACAUGCACUGGGUCCGCAAGAGACCUGGACAGGGACUGGAGUUCGUGGCAGAGAUCAGCUACGAUCUUUCCAUAACGUACUACGCGCCGUCGGUCCAGGGCCGGUUCACGAUCUCCAAGGACAACGGGCACAGCUCGCUGACGCUGACCAUGAACAACCUCAAGGACGAGGAUUCCGGAUCCUAUUUCUGUGCCAGGGAUUCCCAUGGUGGCUGGAAUGCUGCCCAUUCCAUUGGUUUCACUCCUGGUGGUUGGAUCGUGACCCAGCCCUUGACCGACAGAGUGUAA